rnacentral:rRNA from 1 species
AACGAACGCUGGCGGCAUGCCUAACACAUGCAAGUCGAACGAGACCUUCGGGUCUAGUGGCGCACGGGUGCGUAACGCGUGGGAAUCUGCCCUUCGGUUGGGAAUAACUGAGAGAAAUUUCAGCUAAUACCUUAUAAUGUCUUCGGACCAAAGAUUUAUCGCCGAGGGAUGAGCCCGCGUAGGAUUAGGUAGUUGGUGGGGUAAUGGCCUACCAAGCCGACGAUCCUUAGCUGGUCUGAGAGGAUGAUCAGCCACACUGGGACUGAGACACGGCCCAGACUCCUACGGGAGGAAGCAGUGGGGAAUAUUGGAAAAUGGGCGAAAGCCUGAUCCAGCAAUGCCGCGUGAGUGAUGAAGGCCUUAGGGUUGUAAAGCUCUUUUACCCGGGAUGAUAAUGACAGUACCGGGAGAAUAAGCUCCGGCUAACUCCGUG